rnacentral:lncRNA from 1 species
CAGGAGGGUGAUGCUCUGUGCUGGGUCCAGCUCUCCCUCCUGCUCCUCAGUGGUAAACAAGCGAGGCUCUUCUCAUCCACAGAAAAUGAGGUUUUUCUGGGAUUUUACCGUUCUGAAGGUUAAAAAGAGGGAAGCAGCUGUUCCCAUGCCUCAGGAGCACAAACACUUGAGAGGAAUCAGUGGGACAGCAGCGAGGGAGCGCUUGGGCUGCUGCCAAAGCUCCGGCAGCGAGCCCGGCUCGGAGCCUGUGAUCUGGGGAACCUCUGGAGCCUUUCGCAAGGCCAGUGUCACAGACAGCCUUCUCGCUUGCUGGGCUGUAAGACUUCGAGCCUCGGACAACAGCUAA